GACGGGGGAUGCAAGUGUUAUCCGGAAUCACUGGGCGUAAAGCGUCUGCAGGUGGUUUCCUAAGUCCACUGUUAAACCUUGAGGCUCAACCUCAAAUCUGCAUUGGAAACUAGGAGACUUGAGUACAGUAGGGGUAGAGGGAAUUUCCAGUGGAGCGGUGAAAUGCGUAGAUAUUGGAAAGAACACCGAUGGCGAAGGCACUCUACUGGGCUAUUACUGACACUCAGAGACGAAAGCUAGGGGAGCAAAUGGG
rnacentral:rRNA from 1 species